AUUCACCUUUUACGACAGCCGGUGGGAGGUGGAAGAGGAAACGGAGACUCCUUUACGGCUGCCUCUUCCCCUGGCGUGCUGCACUGACCAGCACCCGCCAGAGACGCCAUGAUGCUCGUCUCAGGAGCCGGCAUUCAUUGCACAGCGGUGCUGCUACAGGAAGUCGCUCAAGUUUGUUCCAAACACCAGACUCCCGCAGACGGCCGCCAUGAUGCGGUACGGAAAUCCUAGCUUGUCCACCCACUGGUGUGACCAAAGUAAGUUAAUUGGCCUGGCAUCUAUUUACAGUUGUUGCAAAUUAGGCAUAUCUAAAGGGAGUGGUACUUUUUGUUCGAGAACUCUGAACAUCACAACUGAGCUGUUUCAAGACAAACUUACUGGAAUCCUGAACUUACGUAGCUUACAGAAGAGGUUUCCUUUAAUGUUUGAGCGCCACCCUUUAUCCUGCCAUUCAUUCUUUGAACAUUUGUUAAAAAUGUUUACAGACAGGCACCAUGUUAUAAUAACAAGAUAAAAUUUAAUGCAGGUUUGUAUGUAUGAAAACUCAAAAUCUAAUAGAUAAUCAAAUGUGUGUGUGUGUGUGUGUGUGUGUGUGUGUUUCUCUUUAGAGUGUAAAAACACAAAAAUGCAGUAGUCAAGGAAACUAUAUGACCAAAAGUGCCCAAAAUGUCCAGACUUUCACUGUGAAAGGCAAGAAGGGUUAUGCUGUUUCCAUCUACAACUGCAAAGCAUACAAAACAUAAAGUAAAGAUGAUUGUGGGCAAAUGCUGCUGAGAUGUGAUCCUCCAAGGAGCAUAUAAUUACGAUGUAUUGGUUCAAUUAAAUUUAAGAACAGUGUAGAAAAUGAGACAGGAUGUAUGCUAUAUGACUGAUUGCUUCCAGCAAUGCCCAUUUCAGUCCAUUAUGCACACAGCCAUCAGAAUGAAAAAUGCAUUUUCAAUUUGAAAUGUUACCUUUGCUACCUGCACCCCCAAUUUCCUUUACUUAUGAUAUCAACUCUAAUAGACCUUUGAGUGGAAACAUCUAGUUUCUUUGGAAAGUUAUGUCAAAUGAUGGUUUGCAGGAGCACACAGGUGGAUGUCAGUGCUAAAGCAGACACAGGUAAAAGGAUAUUUUGCUGGAGCAGACACAGGAAAAAAGUUUUUCCUCUAGCAGACACAGGUGAAAGGAUGUCUUGAUAUAGCAAACACGUGAAAGGAUGCUUGAUGAAGGAGUAUAAAUAUGACCCCCAAAGACAGUGGGAAACAAGCAAUGAGCGUUGGUUUGCUCUGCCUUGCUAACACUCUAUGAGCCUUCUAUUGUUGCGUUCAACUUGUGGUAACACCAGCACUGAGAAAAAUUCGUCCAAGAACUGCUUGUGAAGUUCCUGCAGCAGCUAGUAGCUUCUGCUGGUGAACCUGGCAAUUUCUUCAGGAUUGAACAACAGCUUCUGGUUCCUGCCUAGUGUCUGCCUGCCUAGAGAACUGGUCUGCAGCUGCUGAGUCUUAUUUGGUGAUUGCUACAGGACUGAACUACUGAGAAAGAUCAAGCUCACCCACAAAGAAAUACUGCUGAACAGGCUCACUCUCCCCGUACCCUAAUAACUUUUCUCUUCCACUACUUCUGCUGGAUGGUGGGCUAAAGGAGAGGGUGAACUCUUAUUAAAGUAGGUUGCAAAAAAU
rnacentral:lncRNA from 1 species